GGAGACAUUUGGGUGCAUUUGGAGCUCAAAAAGGAGUGUUUAGAGUGGUCAUUGGGCGAGCAAGGCAUGGAGCGACCAGUCCGGAGCGACACCACCAAGUCGCUCUGACCUCCCUAUUGGAGCGACCUUACCAGAGCGACAGGGAGAAGUCGCUCGCGGUUUCAUCACUCGGAGACGCGAGAACGAGCCCGGAGCGACCUCCCGGAGCGACACCACGAAGUCGCUCGCAUCUCACACCCCUCUCGGAGCGACCUCCCAAAGCGAUACCCCGAGGUCGCUCGCGUCUCUAUGGCGAGACGACACGAAGCGAAGCCUGGAGCGACCUCUCAGAGCGACCCACUGAGGUCGCUCCCGAAGGCCGGAGCGACUUGCCGGAGCGACAUGCCGAGGUCGCUCCGCGCCUAUUAUCUGCUCGAUUUCUAUUUUACUUAAGGGCCUUUUGGUCAUUUCAUUAUGCACGUUUUUACAUUUCUAAAACCUAUGUUUUAAACAUCUUUUGUAGCCACCAGAGGCAUUUUAUCUUUUAUCUUUUGAUCUAUUGAGAAAUACACAAGAACUCUCUUGAGAAGUUCAUCUUUGGGUUUUGAUUUGUUAUGUUCUUGUGUUGAUUUCUUAUCUAUUUCUUUACAUGAUUAAUCUGAAAUCCAAUAUGGGUUUAAGAGGAAUCAUGGAGAUUAGUGAGUAAUCACCUUUUGAAUUCAUGGGUUAGGGAGAUUAAGGGUGAUUAGGUUAGAGCUAGGAUGUUUUAGUGUAGAUCAUUCAUAUUUCCUUGCUAGUAGAGUAAUCAUAAUGCAUCUUCUGAGUUGGCCACUCAGUUGUUGAUCCUUAGGCAUUUCUCACCCGAAAGGUGUUCGAUGAAAUGCCCGAGACAACUCUCCUGGGCUUUUAGUAUACUUUGCCAAAGACAUUUGUUGUUAAAGGUGCUAAGAUAGCUAAUAGACUUGUUAGUAAUGAUUGCUUUCAUAUUAUUCAACCAAAGACAUUUGAUGUUUGAGAUAUGUUAGCAAAUGAGCAUUCAUCUAGACAUAGAGCUUGCUUAGAAUUGUGUCUAGGCUUAAGGUUGAUAGUUUGAUUGAUCAUUUGCCAUCCUUAGUUCGAUACUUGAUCACCCAAGGUCUAAUCCCUAUGCCCAUGAGUUCUCUUUUCCCUUAGUCAAGAAAGUAUCAUUUAGUUAUUACUUUUAAUUAGUCAUAGUUUUAAAACUCAUCUAAAUCAUUGGUUGCACUUAGAUUAAGUGAGUACUUGCAUUCUCAGUGCUUUGAUAUCCCUCAGAACUGGUUCGACAAUCAUUUAUACUACAACAUUUGUCUUAGGAGCCUUGAAAACUCCUAACAUCAAAUUGGCGCCGUUGCCAAAUUCUGAGUAGAUUUGAACAUUGAGAUUUAGUCACUUGCUUGAGACUAAGUCAUUUUUAUUUUCUUUUGUUACUGAUUCUCUUUCUUCACCUCCCUUUAAUCUACAGGUGUAUGAACUUGAGGAGCAGAGGUCCAUCAAACCUAGUUCCAAUAGCUGCAGACAUCAGAGCUUUAGAGAGAGAGUGUGCUAGAAAUAGAAGAGAAGAAGAGCAACAGGCUCACUUGCAGAGAUUGAGUACUGAUAUGGGAGACAUACCUCAAAACCAACAGCGAGCAGCUCGACCCAUUGGCACUUACGACCGCCCCAACAUUCAUGGUCAUAGAUUGGGAAUCCGAGCACCCGCUGUGGCAGCCAACAACUUUGAGAUCAAAUCAGGACUCCUCAACGUGAUCGAGAACAACAAGUAUCAUGGCUUGGCUCUAGAGGAUCCAUUUGAUCACUUGGACAGGUUCGACAGCUACUGUGGGUUGUCAAAAACCAAUGGUGUGUCCGAAGAUGCCUUAAAGCUCAAGCUAUUCCCUUUCUCCUUGGGGGAUAAGGCACGUCAGUGGGAGAAGUCUCUACCCAGCGAUUCCAUCACCACUUGGGAUGACUGCAAGAAAGCAUUCUUGGAGAAGUUCUUCUCUACUUCAAGAACUGCUAAGCUGAGAAACGAGAUCUCCAGCUUUCAACAGAAGGGCUUGGAAGGUUUCAGUGAAGCCUGGGAGAGAUUCAAGGGCUACCAAGCUCAAUGCCCACACCAUGGUUUCUCUAAGGAGAGCUUGCUGAGCACAUUCUACCGUGGUGCUCUCCCUAAGUACAGGGCCAGACUGGAUACAGCUAGUAAUGGGUUCUUCUUGGGGAGAACUGAGGAGGAUGCAGAGGAGCUGGUUGACAACAUGGUUAAGAGUGAUGCAGUCUACAGUGGAGACCACGACAGAAGCAGUAGAACUGAGGAUAAGCAAACGAGGAAGGAGUUGAAAGCUCUACAGGAUAAGAUCGACCUUCUCAUUGCUGAAAAAGCCACCCAAGAGCAGCUGAAGUUUGUUGGUAACUCCAAGCAGGAAGAUCCACUUGCUGUCAAUGAGGUUGAGGGUUUGGAAGGUCAAGAGGAGUUGUGUUUCAUCAACAACAAUGGUAGCUGGUACAAAAAGGAGCCCAAUUUUCAGUACAACAACUACCAACAGAAAUCCUAUCCCAACAACCAGCAGAGUGGCUAUCCGCCAAGAAACAACCAGCAAGGCAGCUAUCAGCCUCAGCAAAAUCCCUCGUCUGGUUCCUCUGCUCCUCAAGAGAGCAGAACUGAUACCUUACUGAAACAAAUCUUGGAGUCUCAGACUAGAAGUGAGAAGCAAGUUGGUUAUGAGUUGAAGAACCUUCAUUCCAAGAUUGAUGGGAGCUACAAUGAGCUCAACAACAAAUUCUCACACCUUGCUUCUACAGUCAGGAAUUUAGAGAAUCAAUUUGCUUCCAUGAACACUCACCAGAAUCGCCAGCAAGGAUCUCUACCUGGAAAGUCUGACCAAAAUCCCAAGGAGGCCAAAGCUAUCACCCUUAGGAGUGGUAAGCAGUUACCUCCUAGAACCCUCACCAAGGAUGCUGAGAAAUUAGGUGAGGGGGUUGCCAUCAACAUAGAUGAUGAAGUGGUGAUUGUUGAUGAGAAGAUCAAUGACGAGAUCUUGGAGAAGAUAGUGGAAGCCAAAGGUAAAGGAAAGGUUGGGGAAGAGAAGAAGACAGUAAAGGAUGGUGAAGUUGUUACUCCAGCAAGUGAAAGUUCUUUUGUUCCUCCUCCCUAUGAACCCAAACUUCCAUUCCCUGGUAGAUUCAAGAAGCAGCUGCUAGAGAAGUACAAAGCUCUGUUUGAGAAGCAAAUGAGUGAAGCUCAGGUUGCAAUGCCCAUCAUCGAUGCUUUCAUGUUGAUUCCUCAAUACAACAAGUUCCUGAAAGAUGUUGUAGCUGCAAAGAAGAAGGAGAUGGAAGGCAUGAUGAUUCUUACCCAUGAGUGCAAUGCCAUCAUCCAGAGGCUUGAUGUUCCAGAGAAAUUAGAGGAUCCAGGAAGCUUCACACUACCUUGUGCUCUUGGACCUAUGGUAUUUGAGAAAAGUCUCUGCGAUUUGGGAGCUAGUGUUAGCGUAAUGCCUUUGUCUGUUGCCAAGAAGCUCGGAUUCACUCAGUACAAGAAGUGUAGACUCUCUCUGGUGUUAGCUGAUCGUUCAGUGAAGUACCCUGUGGGCAUCUUAGAGGACCUCCCUGUGAAGAUUGGAAGGUAUGAGAUACCUACAGAUUUUGUGGUGCUUGAGAUGGGUGAGGAGGCUCAAGAUCCAUUGAUUCUAGGAAGGCCAUUCUUAGCUACAGCAGGAGCUAUUGUUAAUGUGAAGGAGGGCACGAUUGAUCUCCAUUUGGGUAAAGAGAACAUCCUCCACUUUGACAUCAAGGGGAAAAUGAGGAAACCAACUGUGUUCGGGCAAGCCUUCUACAUUGAAGAGAUUGCCACUCCUGCUGAUGAGCACCUUAAAGAGUUACCACCUGAGGACGACGAGGAGGGAGCAUCUCCCUCUACUCAUUCCCCAUAGAAGGUAACCCACCACACUCCCUUGUAUAUACCAUUUCAUUUUUGCAUAUUAGUCUUUUUUUUGGUAUCUCUCUCUACUUGACGACACAGAGACUGUGUAACUCAAGUUUGGGGGAGGUACCAAGUAUUUGAUCAUGUUUGCUUUGAUGUUGUUUCAUUGAGUCAUGCAUGGCAUACCUAUUUGCAUAGAUAAAAAAAAAAUCAAUCAUUUAGUUUGCAUCAUUUGCAUUUUUAGGAGAGUCUAGAGCAUAUAGGUUGCAUUCACUUGCAUUGGGAGCAAUGAUUUUGAAUGCCUUGUAAAGAACACUACGUUGCACUUGACUAGCUUUUGCACCUCUCAAAAAGACUUGUAUGUUUCGAGCCUUGAAAACUCUUCCUGAAACUUGUUGAUUGCUGAAACUCAGUCUUUGAAGCCAACUACAACCUUAUUUGAACUGAACGAACUUAAUGCUUCUUGCUCAUGGUCCCUUGUGUACUGAGUCAUGGCUAUACACACUUGAGUUGUCACAUCUUUUAUACCAAUCUUUUUUGACAAACUCUAGUGGUAGACCACUCCCAAAACCUUUUCCUCCUUUUAAGCUUUCAUUGUUUGAUGAGUGAGGCCUUUUUCGGAAAGUCUUACAUGUGCAUAAUGUUGAGAGUAUCGGGAACGACAAUGCUUGAUCUUCAUUCUUGCUAGAUUGGACACUUUAUUGUCUAGCUAUAGGUGGGGGUGAGUGUUGUGAUUAUGAUUUGGGAGAAAUGAAAAAGAAAAAGAAUAGACUCUUUGUGCUUAAGUGAAUUGUUUUAUUGGGACCAGUAUAGAAGCCUCUAGCUCAAGUUUUGAAAAGUCUUGGCCCCCAGCCUAAAAAAAAAAAAAAAAAAAAAAAGAGAAAAAGAAAGAAAAGGGGGCUAGCAAAGUUGUUAGGAGCUAAGAAAUGUUUUGAGGUUGUGAAAAAAAUCUCUUGUAGAUUUCAAAGAGAAGGAGUUAAAGUUCUUAGGAUCUUUUGGUGAGAGAUGUGAGUUGGGUUUGACAUUGGGAAAUGAUUGUGUGAUUUGUAUGUUUGAGAAAAGGGUAGAACAAUGGAGAUUGAGCAUUGUAUGCAUGAGUUGGUCCCUUUCUUAGAUAUAUUAUGUGCAAUGUCAAGGCUACUUGUUUUGAGAGUAAACCACCUUAAAGAUCAUAUGUUUUGAACCUCUUGAAUCACUUAAUAAAAGCCUUCCCUUACCCAACCAAAUGACUUGGACCAAUUGACCAUUUGCAAGAAUUCACCUGAUGUUUUGUGCUUAAUGAAUGUGAGAGUUGGUUGAUUUGAAUGUGUGGAUGCUUGAUGAUGAGUGUAAGAACAAAAAGAGUUAAGAUAGGCCUAGAGAAGCUAGAGUGUAAUAAGAGAGUGUGCUAGUUGUGUUUCUUUUGGCUAUGUGCUCCCUCCUUCAACCUCUCUCCCUAUGAGUUCUAGAAAGUUCACUUGUGGACAAGUAAAAGAACAAGUUUGGGGGAGUUGAUAUCUUGCAUAUUUACAUUGUUUUAUCCAUUCAUUCAUAAACAUUUUCAUCAUAUAGAUUAGGAUUUAGACAUGUUUAGGUUGCAUUUUGCAUACAUAUGUCUCUAUCAGGUAUUUGAGUACCACAUCGAGUUUCUGGAGACAUUUGGGUGCAUUUGGAGCUCAAAAAGGAGUGUUUAGAGUGGUCAUUGGGCGAGCAAGGCAUGGAGCGACCAGUCCGGAGCGACACCACCAAGUCGCUCUGACCUCCCUAUUGGAGCGACCUUACCAGAGCGACAAGGAGAAGUCGCUCGCGGUUUCAUCACUCGGAGACGCGAGAACGAGCCCGGAGCGACCUCCCGGAGCGACACCACGAAGUCGCUCGCAUCUCACACCCCUCUCGGAGCGACCUCCCAAAGCGACACCCUGAGGUCGCUCGCGUCUCUAUGACGAGACGACACGAAGCGAAGCCUGGAGCGACCUCUCAGAGCGACCCACUGAGGUCGCUCCCGAAGGCCGGAGCGACUUGCCGGAGCGACAUGCCGA
rnacentral:lncRNA from 1 species